rnacentral:misc_RNA from 1 species
CUCUUCGGCAGUUAUCCGUCGUGCGGAAAGACGAAAACGCGCGAGACUCUUCUUGCACAUCUUUCCGAAUAAGAGCUUCGUGUUGGGUUUAGGCUUUGCACCACAUGAGGUGCACUCGUUUCUGGGUGUGUGGCGCGCUGAGCCACGUGCCUGAGGCAACAGGUGUGGUCAAGGACUACCAGAAGAUUGAUUCGCAGAGGAAGGAACUGGCGGCGCGCGAGGCAAAGAAGGAGUACGAGAGCUACCCGCUGCGCUACCAGCUCCUGGAGUGCCGGCCGGGAAUGCCUCUCGCUCUGACGAAGCUGAAGUAUUUGCUGGCGUGUCGCCGCACACACCCCGACGCAGGUGGGGAUACCGAGUCUUUUCUGAGGGUGAGCCUGGCAUACCAGGACGUGAUGAAGGACUACGGCGUGGAGACGGUCGACAAUAAGAUCGUCAACUUGGGGAACUUCCAGUCCGAUGAUCAUGAGGCGCAAAACUACCUGGAGGCACGGGCCAGCAUUAGCUCGUACAUCCCCAUCUCGACACUCGAGGAUCACAUUAGACAAAUCGAGGAGAUUCAGAGACGACUUGGAGACGAACUUUCGGAGAAGCUGACGUCAAAUAGCGAUGAGGCGAUGUGGCUACUGGAGGAUAUUGAGGACUUCAUGGAGCAAACAGGCCUCAAAACAGUCAAGCUUCGUGUGCUUGAGAACGGCAAGGUGCGAGUGAGCGAUGCGCAGGUGCUCACGGAUGGCACUGAGAGACCGCUGUUCCUUGAAGACGGAGAAGCGCCGCCGGAGCGGCGCAUUCCUGCUAGCACCACCGGCGCGGAGACAGCAUGCGUAAAUAGUGCCUCAAAGAAUGCGUUUUCCGCGGACGCACCGUCGAACGCGGCAAAGGAGGCGCCUCAGUCAAGCGAGGAGACGCUGCACGAAGCAGAGGUCUCCAGAUCGGACAUUGAUAUUUUGAAUGAAAAGAACACCCUGCAGGACAGACAAGAUGUGGCAGGGGUGGCCGCGCGGACAGCCACAGAGGUCAUGAACAACACGGAGGAAGUGAAGCAGAUGAAGCUGGAGGCAUCUGUGCUAUAUGUGUUUUUCGUUUCGCUGAUGACGCUUGUUUACGUGUACAUUGAGGGGGCGAUGCGGGCAAAACGUCAGGCAAGCUCACGCCCGGAGACUAUGGAACACGUCACGAGCGACACGAUGCUUCCGUGGUGGGGUAACGACGCCGAGUAUGAGAGCCAGGUCAAGCGCAUUUUCGUGGACGAGUGGAGAAAGGCACGUGCGUCGUCGCGCAGGGCGCAGACGUUUCAGGAUGGCGUUGCUCGCGAGUCCCUGGACGAGGAGACUAAGCGCGAGAUGGAUUUGAAAAUCUUCACCGUCACUGCAGAAAAGCUGCGCGCCAUGCGUGACAAUGCAGAGAAGCACCACGUCCGCUAGGACGCACACCGCAUUCUCGAUUUCCUUUGCCAUUUGCGGAUUCUCUACCUAAGCGGUGCGUGCUUCUCCCUGUGGGGAGUUCUCGCAGUGAGUUACCCUUGCAGGCUCAGGGGACGAGUGUGCCUGUUGCGCGCGGCCCUGGUGGCGAUGCGAACCUUGUGCUUGUGUGCACAUAGGGCGGCACCGCAAUCUCAUUACUGUAGUUUGUGUUUUCGCACUGCUCACACAAUGCCUUUUGGCCGUUUUUCCAGCCCGGUGAUGCUGCUACGCUCAGCUGUCUCUCCUGUUGGCCGUCUGAAUGGCACCCCUGCCGAACCCGCAGACAUCUUCUGAG